rnacentral:lncRNA from 10 species
AAAAGAACAGGAGGGAAUGAGAGGCUCAGCCCCAUAGACCCUUCUCCCUGCUGCCAUCCACUCAGGGCAUUGUGCUUAGUGAAAGCCCAGUUUCCGCAGGGAUUACUUUGGGCACACAACAUUCUAGGAGCUGGAUGUCCAGGAAUUCCUGUUAAUUAGGCAUUUAUUCACGGAAUAAAUGUUUCCCUGAAGAGCUUUCUGCAGCUGGCCAAUGUUCCGGUUUGGUCGUGGGCAGUGAGAUGCCCAUUAGUCUAGAAUACACGACAGUGUGAGGCGCACGUUCACACGUGAAUUGCCCGUGACUUUGACUCCAAAGCAUGUCUGGGACCCUGCACAUCUAACUCCUACCUAUGUCGCUGGUGGAACUUAUGCUCUUAACAAGGAGAUUUCUAUCUGAAUGUCCUGGGAGGUGCCUUCCAAUUCUUCCAUGAUUGCAUCUCUUGGAUGGUGGAGUGAGAAAUGAGAUUUAUCUUCUGAAGCCAAAACCCAUAUCUAACUGAUCAUGGCAUAUUUAGUGCUACAAAUGAAAUACAAAUAGAAAGACAUACUAAGCAUCCUUUCAAUUCUUCGUGACAAGAAGACCCUUCUGCAUCCAUAGCAACCAGGAAACACAGAAACAAGAACAUCCUUCAACCCUGAAUGAUUUCUGCAGUAAUAUCAUUUUAGAUUUUGUGCCUUGAACACAACUAUAGUUUUAUGUUUGCUUUUUGCAUAUAUUUUGUAUUUAUUUCAUAAAACAUGAAAGCAUUCUAAAAACACUAAAUAAUUCUCAUCUUACCCUCACCUCUACUAAUGAUGUUUCUUCCUGCUUAAAGCAUUCACAGCAUCUAUUGUUAUAUUUCUGAAAGAUUUGAAUUUUUUAAAAGUAGAGAUCUAAUAACAUGAGAGAAAUUUGAAAACAAGGUAAAAAGCCAUAAGCCUACCACUUUGACAGUGACAACCAUAUUUUUAUGUGCCCUUGCUGUUUUUACAACUCACGUGUGUUUAAAUAUUUUUUCAGACUAUUUCACCUAAUAUUUUAUCAGAAGCAUUUUCUAUAAUCCCAUAAAGUUUAUACCCGUCAUUUUUAAGGGCUAUAGAAUAUUUUUUCAAGGUUUAUACCAUAAUUUACUUAACUACCCUCCUUCCCCUUUUUGCAUAUUUGGGAUGAUUCCAGGUUUUCACUAAGCAGCUCUUUGAUGAAUAUUUUUCUGCAUAUGGCUUUUUCCAUAUUUCAGGGUAUUUUCUUAGGCUAGCUUCCCAGAAGGGGAUUACUGAGUCAAAGCACAUUAACAUUUUUAUGGCUUCAUAGUAUCUUUUGAAGAAGGUAGGUGUUCCAUUUCAUGAGGUCCACAAACAUAAAAGAGGAAAUUUGGCUUCAAAAACUCCCUUGUAACACAUGUACAUUAAAAUUUUGUCGUAGAGCUGUUCUGAUACUUUUCUAAGUAAUUAAAGCUUGCCCUUUUAAAUUAAACAAAUAUAAAAAGUUAUUUUUCACUUU